GAGAGUGGCACCCCAGGAGAGAGAGGCGAAGUGGGACCUAAUGGGCUGCCAGGGCCCAAAGGGACUUCAGGAGGACCGGGACCAGAAGGCCCAAAGGGUGGGGCUGGGACUAAAGGAGCUGUCGGAGAUGUAGGAGGCAUAGGCCUACAGGGGGUGCCAGGGGAGAGGGGUCUUCCUGGAUCUCCUGGUCCAAAAGGAGAUGUGGUAAGGACUUGUGUCGGAUGGGAAAAUAUUAACCAAAAACUGCAAGUCUGUAAUUAAAUUAUGAUUUACAUUUUAGUCAUUAGGCAUGCGCUCUUAUCCAGCGACUUGCAGUUAGCACUUCAGAUUAAAUGACAUCAGAAGGAACUGCUGGUUUUGACCCUGUUAGAUUCUGUCCAAGUUUGAUCCAUGAACAAAAUAAAUGCAAUCGGAAGUCAGGGGAGAUCCAUCUUUAUUCAGCAUGAGUCUAUGAUGUUGACCUUCCAUUUCUCAUUUAAAUCUCUCUCCAAUGAUUACAAAGUGGACACAGUAUUUAUGCCCAAGCACAUCCCCACCAAUAUCUGUCUGUCUUCCAAUCACAUACGUGUAUUCUACAUCCUAACCUUACAUGGCCUAAUAGUGUCCCCUCUUAAGUUUCUUGGCUCCACAGCUUAUCAGGUUGUGUGAGGCCCCUCAGUAGUAGAUACCAACUGCUUGUGAUACGGUACCUCAUAUAGCACAAGAUAACGAACCACUCCUCUAACAAGAGAAUAGAACUAAAAUACAUGCAUAUCAUCAGGUACAGACAGGUUUCCUCACAAUGGUAUGUGCCAACCUACGGCCCAUGGGUCUAUUCAUAGGGUCUAUGACAGUCAGAUGGAAAACUCCUAUCAGGAGGUAUGGACAGGAUGUGUGGAAAUCAUCAGAAAUGGGGCAUCACAUUUCCUACCUAGUGUCCUUCGUACAGAGAUCCUUAAUACUCUCAUACAUUGUGUAAUUCAGCUACUUUUCAUGCCCAAUAUCUAUCAACCCUUUGUAUUGGUCUGUCAGCCCAGUACAGGACUUAUUCACAGUCCAGUAGUGGGCUGAUGGGCGUUCAUUCAGAAGCCUCCUUUUGCUCACUCCUUUUCUCCACAAAGGGUUCUGUUGGCGAAAAAUGGGCAGAGGGCACAGCAGGAAUGGAUGGGCUCAGGGUAAGUACACAUCUACGCAUCAGAUUAUAGGGGUCUCCAGGAGAACCUGGUCCAACUGGAGCAGUAUGAUUCCCUGGGCCUCCUGUGAGUUACAAACCUGUGAAGUGCAUGCCUGAGGGUAUACUUUAUGCCAGGCCUCGGUCAUACUGUCCCAGGGCAAUUUAAGCGGUCACUAGAGGGCCUCCAACAGCUAGGGUGCCCCCGACCGAUAGGGGAGAGGGGGCCCCAAAUAAAAUGUUGUUUAAGUCCUCCAAAAGCCAGCAUUGUUUUAUGUAGGAUUGUGCAACAACUGUAUACAGAGAUCUGUUUGGGUCUCAUGGGGUAGCUCAAAGUAUAGUUUGGCUAUAUAAUGUUGUCAUGACACUAGAAAAUGUACAUAGGUGACAUUGUCGUAUUUGAAAUUGGCCCAUUUUAACCAGACCACAAGCAAAUUAGUUUUCUUGCAAAUAAGAACCCUAGCUAAGGAGUAUUUAUAAAAUGGAAAUGUGCAUGAGAACCUGCUAACAUGGCUAGAUUAUUUGCUUAUGACCUCAGCUGAGCAAAUCUCCAACCCAAAGGGGAGCCUUAAAAUACCCUCUAAAAUACCCAAUGCUCAUUCCUCAAGCCAAAAUCUAGUAGUGUUGCACGGUGAUGACUAAGCCCAGCAAUCCCAAUGAUUGUGUUUGUCUUUUGGCAGGGUCCGGAUGGGCAACCUGGGGUCAAAGGGGAACCAGGAGAGGGAGGGCCGAAGGGUGAGGCUGGAGCAAAUGGACCCCAAGGACCUGCUGGUAAAAUGGGUUCACAGGGUCCUGUUGGUGUGACUCAGACUAAGGAAUUAUAUACUGUCAUGGUCGGAUGCAUUUAUAUGGAGUUUAUCACAUUUGUCUUUUGUGGCCUUUUAAAUUGCAAUCAGUGUCUGUGUAUAACUAAUCAAUGAGUUUGUUAGCUCACACUUGGAUGCACUGAGCAGGCUAGAUACUGAGCCAUGGGGAGCAGAAAAAAACGGUCAAAAGACCUGAGUAACAAUGUAAUGGAACUUUAUAAAGAUGGAAAAGGAUAUAAAAAAAAAAAUCCAAAGCAUUGCAAAUGCAAGUCAGUACUGUUCAAUCACUUAAGUGGAAAAUUCAGGUAUCUCAUGACACCAAGACAAGGUCAGGUAGCCCAAGAAACAUUUCAGCCAAAACUGCCAGAAGAAUUGUUCGAAAUACAAAGAUAAACCCACAGGUAACCUCAAGAGAAAUACAGGCUGCUCUGGAAAAAGAUGGUUUGUUUGUUUCAAGGAGCACAAUAUGACAAUACAAAAAAUGAGCUGCGUGGUCGAGUUGCCAGAAAGAAGCCUUUACUGCACCAAUGCCCCAAAAAAGCCUGGUUGUAAUUUGCCAGGCAACGCCUUGAUACGCCUCACAGCUUCUGGCACACUGUAAUUUGGAGUGACAAGACCAAAAUAGAGCUUUAUGGUCACAACCAUAAGCACUAUGUUUGGAGAGGGGUCAACAAGGUCUAUAUUGAACAGAAUACCAUCCCCACUGUGAAGCUUGAGCAAUAUUUUAAAAAGGCAAAAAAAAGGCAAUAUUUUGUGAUUUUAUUUAGCAUUUUUAGACAUUAAGUGAUUUAGUAAAUAAUAUCAGAAUUCUGGCAUACAUUUGAUAUAUUUCAUCACCCAAGAGCUCCCCUCAGAAUGACUGCAAUGGUGAAGAAAUCAUAGUAUAGAUAAAAACUAAAUAUAGAGAAAAAAGGUUAUCAAACAUUAUGAAAAUGUAAAUUUUUGGCAUUGAGUUCACACUUAUCGAGAGUGUUACAUACAUUACAAAGACUGCAUACAUUAUCUACAUUCAGUACUUUACAAUUCGUUUUAGCUGCAUGAUUCGUCAAUGUAAAUGAUUCGUCAAUAUAAAAUUAUUUUCAACUAACUAAAGUACUAAAUGUUCAAACAAAUGUUUAUAGAAACCUAAUUUCUGUAAAAUGAAAUAUAUUUGAAAAUGAAAUAGGUUUCUGAAUGAACGCCCAUCAGCCCACUACUGUACUGUGAAAAAUUCCUGUACUGGGCUGACAGACCAAUACAAAGGGUCAAAACCAGCAGUUCCUUCUGAUAUCAUAAAAUCUGAAGUACUAAAUGCAAGCCACUCUGUAUAAGAGCGCAUGCCUAAUGACUAAAAUGUAUGUCCUAAUUUAGUUACACUAGGGACUCGCAGUUUUGGUUAAGUCCUUACCAUAUCUCCUUUUGGACCAGGAAAUCCAGGAAGACCCCUCUCCCCUGGCACCCCAUGCAGGCCUAUGUCUCCUAUGUCUCCGACAGCUCCUUUAGUCCCAGCCCCACCCUGGUAGGGAGAACACACAUACAAUAACCUAAUUUUAAUGGGAAAUACCUUGGAUAUCUAAGGCUAAUCAUUGCAAUGUAAAUAUUCAUUAGGUUUCGCUAACUGUCUUUAAUGGGACAACCUGGUUAAAUGAAUGAAUGUCUAUGAUGAGGUACAUGCCUUUGGGACUUCUGGUCCCGGUCAUCCUGAAGUCCUGUUGGGCCCUGGCAGCCCAUUAGGUCCCACUUCGCCUCUCUCUCCUGGGGUGCCCCUCUCACCCUACCAUACAAUCAGACCUGUUAGCGUUCUGUUUACCAGCAAUGUCUUUACAGCACUGUACAUUAUCAAACUUAUUUUACUAAGAUUAGGGAUGAGUAACUCAUUACAAUCCAAAAUAAUUAUACAUUUGUUGUCCUGACUUUUAGGUACAAGGGUUAAAAAAUGUAAUAUGCAAAGCAUCAGGGUUACCUUUAUAUACUGGAUCUAUUUUAACUGAAAUGGGCGUCAAGUGAUUAAUAAAGCAGUUAAGAAAAUAACUUACUCCUAGAACCUGUGGGAACGGCUGCCACUCCUUUUCCUGUAAACGAUAAGUAUGAAAACCUAACAGUGAGUCUACAUUCCGUCAGUAAUUAAAACAAAACUGGGAAGUCAGGUUGAAAAAUGCAGUUCUAGCAUGCGAAGGAACACUUUGUAUAAGUAUAAUUAGUCCUUGCAUCGCUUGGCAUUCUGCACACACCCUGUGUCCCGCAGGUCAGAUCGUCCCUUCUUCUGUAAACCCACAAUCGACACACGUGGGACAGUACGCGUGGGACAGUACGCGUGGGACAGUACGCGUGGGACAGCACAUAUGUGCACAGCCUCUGCAGACGUACUUCUUACACCUGCUGCACACCGUGUGGGUUUUACAGUCCUUAUUGGGUGGGCAGCUCCGACACCUCUUCCUCUUACUGGCAGGGGCCGGGGCAGGGGCCGGGGCAGGGGCCGG
ensembl:lncRNA